CCUUCAAGGGCUUUGAGGAGAUAUGAAAAACAUGGUAGUAUAUACCAGCCCAAGGAAGAUAAAAGUAAGACCCGAGAAAAUACUUUUCAACAAGACCAAAAUUUAGGCCAUGGAGGGGGACUUUCAAUCUGGAAUGAUCGAGCUUUAAGGAAGACAAGUACAUGAGCUCCUCUAGGACACUGAAAAAGCAUCCUAACAUGCUCAAGACAGGAUAGGAAAUGGUCCUCUGGCUUGAAAGACUCAGCAUCCAGAAGUAGUACCUCACUCUCCAUCCAGUGGUCACCCCCCAGAAAUGUGCUCUCGUAAGUUAUUUCCUCCAUUGAUACGCCUGCUCUCCUUCCCCAAGGCAUUUGUUUUAUUGGCUAAUUCCCUUUGGUAAUUGGUUUGCCG
rnacentral:lncRNA from 1 species